rnacentral:rRNA from 1 species
CGACCGCUGGCGGCGUGCUUAACACAUGCAAGUCGAACGGAAAGGCCCUGCUUUUGUGGGGUGCUCGAGUGGCGAACGGGUGAGUAACACGUGAGUAACCUGCCCUUGACUUUGGGAUAACUUCAGGAAACUGGGGCUAAUACCGGAUAGGAGCUCCUGCUGCAUGGUGGGGGUUGGAAAGUUUCGGCGGUUGGGGAUGGACUCGCGGCUUAUCAGCUUGUUGGUGGGGUAGUGGCUUACCAAGGCUUUGACGGGUAGCCGGCCUGAGAGGGUGACCGGCCACAUUGGGACUGAGAUACGGCCCAGACUCCUACGGGAGGCAGCAGUGGGGAAUAUUGCACAAUGGGCGGAAGCCUGAUGCAGCAACGCCGCGUGCGGGAUGACGGCCUUCGGGCUGUAAACCGCUUUCGCCUGUGACGAAGCGUGAGUGACGGUAAUGGGUAAAGAAGCACCGGCUAACUACGUG